CUGGACAGAAGUUCAAACUCAAUUGUUUUACCUUGGCCGGUGGCGGAUGCCAACACUACAGGGUUUGAUGUGAAAAGGAUUUAAUUUUCCUCUGCAGUACCAAGAAGUGGACACUAGAUGUCCCUGUUCAUCUGAGUCACAGGAUUCAAAGCUGUGACUCAUGGAUCACAUGCCGUAAACUCCUUCUGACAUUUCCACUCAUCUCUGUUGCCUGCUGUCAGCCAUGAUGGAGAUGCUGGGUGGAGUUGGUUUUGGCUUAUGACAUUAUUGAUAAACUGCUGAGUUCUAGUGUGCUCUGCAUCCCCAGAACCAGAACCAAACAUGGAGAAGCUUCUAUGCACCACAAAACCGCAAACUGCAAAACAGCUGCAACACUGGGUUCCUUUAAACCAAGACAAAAACCCACCUGUGUAGAGUUGCCUUUGAUUAGUACUAAAUGGAACAUUGAUCAAUGUAGUUAAUGUGUAUUGAUGACUUUGAUGAUGCAUUGGAUACAAUUUAAUGUUUGGUUAUUUUCAAAAUUGGUUACUGUUGAUGUUUUUAUGAUGCAAAGCACUUACUGCCUUGUAGCUUGUAGCUUAUUUGUCCAAUACAAAUAAACUAGAACUUUAAAUUCCCUUGCUUCCCAAAACCUCACAGUCUAGUUCCCUUUUCUAUUUUCUGCCUCAUUGUUUGCUCUGCCACAUGAUAAAACAUCAUCCCCAUUGCAACACUUUUUUUUUUUUUACAUAUUAUUCUCAUGGUCAUCAAAUCAGGUCAGAUCAGGUGAUCUGACACCAAAACAGUUUAGAUUCUCUUCAAAAUACUUUAAUGGAAAAUCACAAGUGAUUAACCACAACUUAUUCCAUCUAAUGUGUUUGAUUUUACAACUUAGGAAACCAUAAUAAUUGAUUUAAACAGUUUUCUCAAUUGCUUUGACCUACUUAGAGGAAGUGGGAUCCACUCAGCGGAGAGCUGAUCUCCUAAAUGUAUCAACUCUUUCUUGUUGGUUUGACAUAUUUUGCUCACACUUUUGCACAAUAGUUAACUCAGAUGUUAUUCAAGCAGUCCUAACAAUGUAAUGUUCUAACAAUGGUAGCCAAGCAGAAUUCACUGGUUCCUAAUUAUUAGUAGCUAAUUUCAGUAUGAAUCCAAUGAAGCACUUAUUUCACUCAACUUCCCACAAAUCUUCACUUAACAGUCAGUCUGCAGACUUAAAUGGCUUCUUGCAUUUUCAAUACCUAUUAAGCACUAAAUCUGAUUGUCACAAAGCAAAUAUUUCCUUAUGAUGGUGAUUAAUGUACAUUUUAACCAACACUGUGAUCCUUUACUCUUUCUUGUUUCUACAAAGAAAACUAUGAUGAUGAAUCCAUAUCAGAUUUCUCUGCUCAUUUCUAGAAAGAUGAUAUUUUCAUGGGGUCAGAGAUGCCACAGCAGAGAAAGUUUUCUACAAACGUCAACAUCCUUCCAAGGCAUGAUCACGACAGAGCUGGUCGGCAGCAAAAGGUUUCUUUAUGGUGGAUGUCGUCAUCUUGGAAGUAUCUUUGAGUGAUGUGUUGGUGAUGUCUAUGAACCCUGUGUUUACUUCAAACUUGAAAUGUAUUGGCU